UAUGCGCUCUUGCCGUUAAAAACCCCGAAAGGAGGCCUUUUAUAAGAAUGCGUGAUGACGUCGCAAAUGAUGAGCCGCAAACACACACGCGCACACAAACUAAUAACGUCUACUUGUCGACAUGAAAGUGAAACGCUUGGUCACCCACCCCCAAGUGAGUGUCCCGGGAGGCGGCAGGGUCUGUCCGGGUGUCUGGCCGGGCCGAGGCGGAGAGGUCGGGCCGGCAGGAAAACGAAGUGAGAGGAGCAGCAGACAAGAGGGAGGAGUGAGGGAGGGGGGGGGGGAUAACGGAGAGGGAGGGACGCAGAUGACGUUCAAGCACAUGAGAGAGCAUUUUGGCUGACACAUACACACUCACUCACGCGCGCACACACACACACACACACACAUCCGCGCCUCGUUUCCGCUCCGGGAGAAGUUUAAUCGCCACCCCCCUAUCCACCCCCUCCACCCCCGUCCCCAGUCUGUCCUGGUGACUCCUGCAGACUGGUUAAACUCUUCUUCAAUCACAUAGACAUUCAUUCUCUGUAAUUUUCCUGGGUGAUAAGACUACUCCUCCUCUUGGCUAUGUAUAUCCCGUUUUGACCUUUGACCCCCUUGUUAUUUGUAAACACUUAACCUCCUGCUGUGCCCAUUUACUGUUAAUUUUCAUUUGGUUGUAAAAUGAACCUUAUCGAUCACACUGUGUCUAUAAAAACUUGUUUAACCGAA